CCUACGGGUGGCAGCAGUGGGGAAUAUUGCACAAUGGGCGGAAGCCUGAUGCAGCAACGCCGCGUGCGGGAUGACGGCCUUCGGGUUGUAAACCGCUUUCGCCUGUGACGAAGCGUGAGUGACGGUAAUGGGUAAAGAAGCACCGGCUAACUACGUGCCAGCAGCCGCGGUGAUACGUAGGGUGCGAGCGUUGUCCGGAUUUAUUGGGCGUAAAGGGCUCGUAGGUGGUUGAUCGCGUCGGAAGUGUAAUCUUGGGGCUUAACCCUGAGCGUGCUUUCGAUACGGGUUGACUUGAGGAAGGUAGGGGAGAAUGGAAUUCCUGGUGGAGCGGUGGAAUGCGCAGAUAUCAGGAGGAACACCAGUGGCGAAGGCGGUUCUCUGGGCCUUUCCUGACGCUGAGGAGCGAAAGCGUGGGGAGCGAACAGGCUUAGAUACCCUGG
rnacentral:rRNA from 1 species